rfam:Mucor circinelloides f. lusitanicus CBS 277.49 MTCCIscaffold_04, whole genome shotgun sequence.
GUCGCUUUGUCCGAGUGGUUAAGGAGUAUGACUAGAAAUCAUAUACGCUCUGCGUGCGCAGGUUCAAAUCCUGCAGGCGACG